UGAAACACUAAAGUAAAAAGUUGAUACACUAAAAUAAAAAGUUGAAGCUAAAAUAAAAAGUUGAAACACAAAAAUAAAAAGUUGAAACACAAAAAUAAAAAGUUGAAACACAAAAGUAAAAAGUUGAAACACUAAAAUAAAAAGUUCAUUUGAGCCUCCUGGGCCUCCAUAACCUAUAUUCUACCUAUCAAUAGUUAGAUACAUAACACAAACCAUAGACUCCACACAUUUCACGACAUGGUUUUCUUUCAAGCUAGAUCCUGUGAGUAUGUACAUAAUCUAACUGCAUAUAUACAGUACUUAUUAAAUACUAAGGAAUGAACUUACAACACUCGCAUAGCCUUAACCACAUAUGGAUGGACAGAUAUACGAAAUUACUAUACACAGUGUGAAACAAGGACUAAAUUUAUAAUAUCUCACUGCAUGGUCUACUUUCCAGACCCUGUGAAGAUAGUUUUGAGGAAACCACUUACUCAUAUGAGAUGCAGGAAAAUUACACAACACAAAAUCACAAGCGACUGUGCAAGUAUCACACAACACAAAAUCACAAGCGACUGUGCAAG